rnacentral:rRNA from 1 species
GUCGAACGGAAAGGCCCUUCGGGGUACUCGAGUGGCGAACGGGUGAGUAACACGUGGGUGAUCUGCCCUGCACUUUGGGAUAAGCCUGGGAAACUGGGUCUAAUACCGAAUAGGAUCAUCGGCUUCAUGGUCGGUGGUGGAAAGCUUUUGCGGUGUGGGAUGGGCCCGCGGCCUAUCAGCUUGUUGGUGGGGUAAUGGCCUACCAAGGCGACGACGGGUAGCCGGCCUGAGAGGGUGACCGGCCACACUGGGACUGAGAUACGGCCCAGACUCCUACGGGAGGCAGCAGUGGGGAAUAUUGCACAAUGGGCGCAAGCCUGAUGCAGCGACGCCGCGUGAGGGAUGACGGCCUUCGGGUUGUAAACCUCUUUCAGCAGGGACGAAGCGCAAGUGACGGUACCUGUAGAAGAAGGACCGGCCAACUACGUGCCAGCAGCCGCGGUAAUACGUAGGGUCCGAGCGUUGUCCGGAAUUACUGGGCGUAAAGAGCUCGUAGGUGGUUUGUCGCGUUGUUCGUGAAAACUCACAGCUCAACUGUGGGCGUGCGGGCGAUACGGGCAGACUUGAGUACUGCAGGGGAGACUGGAAUUCCUGGUGUAGCGGUGGAAUGCGCAGAUAUCAGGAGGAACACCGGUGGCGAAGGCGGGUCUCUGGGCAGUAACUGACGCUGAGGAGCGAAAGCGUGGGGAGCGAACAGGAUUAGAUACCCUGGUAGUCCACGCCGUAAACGGUGGGUACUAGGUGUGGGUUUCCUUCCUUGGGAUCCGUGCCGUAGCUAACGCAUUAAG